rnacentral:rRNA from 1 species
AUUGAACGCUGGCGGCAGGCCUAACACAUGCAAGUCGAACGAGUGGCGGACGGGUGAGUAAUGUCUGGGAAACUGCCUGAUGGAGGGGGAUAGCUACUGGAAACGGUAGCUAAUACCGCAUACCAUCAGAUGUUCCCAGAUGGGAUUAGCUAGUAGGUGGGGUAACGGCUCACCUAGGCGACGAUCCCUAGCUGGUCUGAGAGGAUGACCAGCAACACUGGAACUGAGACACGGUCAAGACUCCUACGGGAGGCAGCAGUGGGGAAUAUUGCACAAUGGGCGCAAGCCUGAUGCAGCCAUGCCGCGUGUGUGAAGAAGGCCUUCGGGUUGUAAAGCACGUUCAGCGGGGAGGCGGUACCCGCAGAAGAAGCACCGGCUAACUCCGUGCCAGCAGCCGCGGUAAUAC